rnacentral:rRNA from 1 species
GACAGAGGGUGCAAACGUUGCUCGGAAUCACUGGGCGUAAAGGGCGUGUAGGCGGGAAAGUAAGUCGGGCGUGAAAUCCCUAGGCUCAACCUAGGAACUGCACUCGAAACUACUUUUCUAGAGUGCCGGAGAGGAAAGCGGAAUUCCUGGUGUAGAGGUGAAAUUCGUAGAUAUCAGGAGGAACACCAGUGGCGAAGGCGGCUUUCUGGACGGUAACUGGCGCUGAGGAGCGAAAGCGUGGGGAGCGAACAGG